GGGGGAUAACAUUUGGAAACAGAUGCUAAUACCGCAUAGAUCCAAGAACCGCAUGGUUCUUGGCUGAAAGAUGGCGUAAGCUAUCGCUUUUGGAUGGACCCGCGGCGUAUUAGCUAGUUGGUGAGGUAAUGGCUCACCAAGGCGAUGAUACGUAGCCGAACUGAGAGGUUGAUCGGCCACAUUGGGACUGAGACACGGCCCAAACUCCUACGGGAGGCAGCAGUAGGGAAUCUUCCACAAUGGACGCAAGUCUGAUGGAGCAACGCCGCGUGAGUGAAGAAGGCUUUCGGGUCGUAAAACUCUGUUGUUGGAGAAGAAUGGUCGGCAGAGUAACUGUUGUCGGCGUGACGGUAUCCAACCAGAAAGCCACGGCUAACUACGUGCCAGCAGCCGCGGUAAUACGUAGGUGGCAAGCGUUAUCCGGAUUUAUUGGGCGUAAAGCGAGCGCAGGCGGUUUUUUAAGUCUGAUGUGAAAGCCCUCGGCUUAACCGAGGAAGCGCAUCGGAAACUGGGAAACUUGAGUGCAGAAGAGGACAGUGGAACUCCAUGUGUAGCGGUGAAAUGCGUAGAUAUAUGGAAGAACACCAGUGGCGAAGGCGGCUGUCUGGUCCUGUAACUGAC
rnacentral:rRNA from 1 species